UGUUCUAACGUGGACCCGUAAUCCGGGUUGCGGACAGUGUCUGGUGGGUAGUUUGACUGGGGCGGUCUCCUCCUAAAGAGUAACGGAGGAGCACGAAGGUUGGCUAAUCCUGGUCGGACAUCAGGAGGUUAGUGCAAUGGCAUAAGCCAGCUUGACUGCGAGCGUGACGGCGCGAGCAGGUGCGAAAGCAGGUCAUAGUGAUCCGGUGGUUCUGAAUGGAAGGGCCAUCGCUCAACGGAUAAAAGGUACUCCGGGGAUAACAGGCUGAUACCGCCCAAGAGUUCAUAUCGACGGCGGUGUUUGGCACCUCGAUGUCGGCUCAUCACAUCCUGGGGCUGAAGUAGGUCCCAAGGGUAUGGCUGUUCGCCAUUUAAAGUGGUACGCGAGCUGGGUUUAGAACGUCGUGAGACAGUUCGGUCCCUAUCUGCCGUGGGCGCUGGAGAACUGAGGGGGGCUGCUCCUAGUACGAGAGGACCGGAGUGGACGCAUCACUGGUGUUCGGGUUGUCAUGCCAAUGGCACUGCCCGGUAGCUAAAUGCGGAAGAGAUAAGUGCUGAAAGC
rnacentral:rRNA from 1 species